AUACGGAGGGGGCUAGCGUUGUUCGGAAUUACUGGGCGUAAAGCGCGCGUAGGCGGACCAGUCAGUCAGGGGUGAAAUCCCGGGGCUCAACCCCGGAACUGCCUUUGAUACUGCUGGUCUUGAGUUCGAGAGAGGUGAGUGGAAUUCCGAGUGUAGAGGUGAAAUUCGUAGAUAUUCGGAGGAACACCAGUGGCGAAGGCGGCUCACUGGCUCGAUACUGACGCUGAGGUACGAAAGUGUGGGGAGCAAACAGCAUUAGAAACCCUAGUAGUCC
rnacentral:rRNA from 1 species